rnacentral:tRNA from 1 species
GGAGGUGUGGCCGAGUGGUUGAAGGCAGCGGUCUUGAAAACCGCCGAAGGGGAAACUCUUCCGUGAGUUCGAAUCUCACCGCCUCCG